rnacentral:sRNA from 1 species
UCACUAUCUGUUGGAGGACCGUGUCGGUGA